GAAAGAGUAGGGAGUUUGAAGGAACCCAACUACAAAGGUAUUGUGGAUCCUACAGCUGUUUGUUUGUUUUGCCUUUAUUGGACAGUGUUCCGAUCCAGCAUUACAAUGAUAGCCUUUCAUUGGAUCCAUCUCAAAAGGGUGCUGCCUGGCUGCACUAACAAAAGUGGUUUUCUAGACUCCAUCAUCAGACUGUGGUAGAGAUCCCUAGAAAAAAUACUGAAGGGUGAACCCCAAAGACAGAGCAGAGAUCGGGAUCUGGGCACAUAGCUACACUGGCAUACAGUAUGAAUCUUUGCAGCGCCCACCAUCAUGAACAGCCUGGUCCACAUUUGUCUAGCAGAUGAAACACCAAAGGAAGUUAAUUCAUCUGGAAUUGUAUUUUUGGGCAUGAGAAAUGAGGACUCGAUUCUAUGGCUUCACACAGAUUCCUUUGUUAAAUGCACCAUUUGGUCCCAAGCUGUUUCCUGCUGUUAGCCAGCUGUUUCUACUCCUGUGCAGUAAGAGAAACCGUGACUAAGACAGCUCUCGUGGACCUGCACAAGGUUUCCAGAGGGUAUGCCUUCAGUCUGCCUGGACUUCCACUGGAACAGGAACUGGAAGCAGGCAGGACAAAGCCACCUCUUGGCCGCCACCUCUUGGCUUCCCCCUCCCCCUCCUGAUGAAACCAGCCAAGGCUAUGGAGUCCACAUCCAGAUGGCAGAGGCACGACGUGCUCCCUCUCUGCUGCAACCUGAAUUGCAACCCGAGUGAUCUGAAGCAGUUAAACAGUACUGGUCUUGCUUGGAGGCAACAUUUAUUACCUUAUAUCAGUAUUAUAACCAUACAAUUCCUCAUGUUGUAGUGACUCUCAAUCACAAAAAUAGUUUCAUUGCU
rnacentral:lncRNA from 1 species